AUUGAACGCUGGCGGCAGGCCUAACACAUGCAAGUCGAACGGUAGCACAGAGAGCUUGCUCUCGGGUGACGAGUGGCGGACGGGUGAGUAACGUCUGGGAAACUGCCCGAUGGAGGGGGAUAACUACUGGAAACGGUAGCUAAUACCGCAUAACGUCGCAAGACCGAAGUGGGGGACCUUCGGGCCUCACACCAUCGGAUGGGCCAAGAUGGGAUUAGCUAGUAGGUGGGGUAAUGGCUCACCUAGGCGACGAUCCCUAGCUGGUCUGAGAGGAUGACCAGCCACACUGGAACUGAGACACGGUCCAGACUCCUACGGGAGGCAGCAGUGGGGAAUAUUGCACAAUGGGCGCAAGCCUGAUGCAGCCAUGCCGCGUGUAUGAAGAAGGCCUUCGGGUUGUAAAGUACUUUCAGCGGGGAGGAAGGCGGUGGAGUUAAUAACUUCACCGAUUGACGUUACCCGCAGAAGAAGCACCGGCUAACUCCGUGCCAGCCGCCGCAGUAA
rnacentral:rRNA from 1 species